rnacentral:lncRNA from 1 species
CUCUCAACCAACAUACACAAAUCAGUUUUUAUACGAACGGAUAAGUAAAUUGAAAUCACAACUUAUGAAAUCAUAACCGAAGGUAAUCAAUUCAUAUUACAAAUAUAUUCAUGGUUUCGAAUUAACCUCUAGCCAAAAUAAAUUAGUUACACAUUAUUAACAAAUUAAACCAAACGUAAAUCAUGAGUUUGAGAAGAUAACACCAAUAAAAACGGAGUGAAGCCCUCUGCCUCUGUGCUCCUCUUCUUCCCUGGCUGUCGCACUCUGACCUCUUUUUUUCACACGCUCAAGCUGCGCAAGGCAGCUUGCUAAUUCCCCCAAAAUCACGUCCUUCCUCGGUUUCUGCUGCCGCAAAGCAGCCUUCUCUGCUUCUUCCCUUUGCUUCGCUUUUUUUCUCACGCUGCCCAAAGGCAGCUGCUUUUAUUUUCUUCUCUGGCGCACACGCUGCAAGGGCAGCGGUGCUCUCUGUUUUUUUUUCCCCAAGGCUCUCUGCUUCUCUCUUUUUCUCUCGCUGACCUCUGGCUUUUAUUUUUUUAUUCCUUUUCCUCCUGGCAGCCUCGCUGCCCUCUGUCUUCUUUUUCUUUCUGCUGCUGACCUAUAUCCCUGCGUGGACUCUCCACCUUGGAUCCCUCCUGUUUUCACGCCAGCUUUUUCGCUGCUUUUCCUAAAAACAUUUCAAGUGGUUGUUGUUCAUCCCAUGUGUCUUCAAACUUGUGUCCCGUGCUUUUUGACUUGCCCUUUCCUUUUCACGCUUCUCUGUCUCCCGUCUCCUAUCUUUUCCCUAGGAUUCUUCUUUUUUUUUUAUUUCCUUUGCAAACAUCAUAAUAAUGACAGGGACAAACAUUGUUUAUAAAAUGUAAAUUAGUAUUAUCAUGUGACAAUAAAGGGUAAAUUUGCAUAACAGAUCCUAUAAGCACAAAAAUAACGUAAAUAGCUCAAAAAUAUAAGGAACUAACCAAGAAAAGACGAGUGAAUUCGAAGUAAAAAU